rnacentral:rRNA from 1 species
ACGGGUGAGUAACACGUGGGUAACCUGCCCAUCAAAGGGGGAUAACCUUCGGAAACGGAUGCUAAAACCGCAUAGGUUCUUGAGCCGCAUGGCUCGAGAAGGAAAAGAGGCUUCGGCUUCUGCUGAUGGAUGGACCCGCGGUGCAUUAGCUAGUUGGUGAGGUAACGGCUCACCAAGGCCGUGAUGCAUAGCCGACCUGAUAGGGUGAUCGGCCACUUUGGGACUGACACACGGCCCACACUCCUACGGGAGGCAGCAUUAGGGAAUCUUCCGCAAUGGACGCAAGUCUGACGGAGCAACGCCGCGUGAGGGAAUAAGGAUUUCGGUUCGUAAAACUCUGUUGUUAGAGAAGAACAGCGCAUACAGUAACUGUUAUGCGUGUGACGGUAUCUAACCCCAAAGCCACGGCUAACUACGUGCCAGCAGCCGCGGUAAUACCUAGGUGGCAAGCGUUGUCCGGAUUUAUUGGGCGUAAAGCGAGCGCACGCGGUCAAUUUGUCUGAUGUGAAAGCUCCACGGCUCAACCGGGGAGGGUCAUUGGGAAACUGGUUGACUUGAGUGCAGAAGUAGGAGAGUGGAAUUCCAUGUGUAGCGGUGAAAUGCGUAGAUAUAUGGAGGAACACCAGUGGCGAAGGCUGAGUCUCUGGUCUGUAUCUGACCCUGAAGGCUCGGAAGCGUGGGUAGCUUACAUGAUUAGAUACCCUGGUAGUCCACGCCGUACAC